rnacentral:rRNA from 1 species
UACAGAGACUGCAAGCGUUAUUCGGAUUCACUGGGCGUAAAGGGUGCGCAGGCGGUCGGGUGUGUCAGAUGUGAAAUCCCCGAGGCUCAACCUCGGAACUGCGUCUGAAACUACUCGACUAGAGUACUGGAGAGGGUAACGGAAUUCACGGUGUAGCAGUGAAAUGCGUAGAUAUCGUGAGGAACACCAGAGGCGAAGGCGGUUACCUGGACAGUUACUGACGCUCAGGCACGAAAGCAUGGGGAGCAAAAGGG